UACGUAGGGGGGCAAGCGUUGUCCGGAAUCAUUGGGCGUAAAGAGCGCGUAGGCGGCCCUGUAAGUCCGCUGUGAAAGUCAAGGGCUCAACCCUUGAAUGCCGGUGGAUACUGCAGGGCUAGAGUCCGGAAGAGGCGAGUGGAAUUCCUGGUGUAGCGGUGAAAUGCGCAGAUAUCAGGAGGAACACCGAUGGCGAAGGCAGGUCUCUGGGCCAUAACUGACGCUGAGAAGCGAAAGCAUGGGGAGCGAACAGG
rnacentral:rRNA from 1 species